CCAGACUCCUACGGGAGGCAGCAGUGGGGAAUAUUGCACAAUGGGGGAAACCCUGACCCAGCGACGCCGCGUGAGGGAAGACGGUCUUCGGAUUGUAAACCUCUGUCUUUGGGGACGAAAAAGGACGGUACCCAAGGAGGAAGCUCCGGCUAACUACGUGCCAGCAGCCGCGGUAAUACGUAGGGGGCAAGCGUUAUCCGGAUUUACUGGGUGUAAAGGGAGCGUAGGCGGCAGUGCAAGUCAGAAGUGAAAGCCCGGGGCCCAACCCCGGGACUGCUCUGGGAACUGUGCGGCUGGAGUGCGGGAGGGGCAGGCGGAAUUCCUGGUGUAGCGGUGAAAUGCGUAGAUAUCAGGAGGAACACCGGCGGCGAAGGCGGCCUGCUGGACCGCGACUGACGUUGAGGCUCGAAAGCGUGGGGAGCAAACAGGAUUAGAUACCCUAGUA
rnacentral:rRNA from 1 species